UACGGAGGGGGCUAGCGUUGUUCGGAAUUACUGGGCGUAAAGCGCGCGUAGGCGGCUUUGUAAGUUAGAGGUGAAAGCCCGGGGCUCAACCCCGGAACUGCCUUUAAGACUGCAUCGCUUGAAUCCAGGAGAGGUGAGUGGAAUUCCGAGUGUAGAGGUGAAAUUCGUAGAUAUUCGGAAGAACACCAGUGGCGAAGGCGGCUCACUGGCUCAUACUGGACGCUGAGGUGCGAAAGCGUGGGGAGCAAACAGG
rnacentral:rRNA from 1 species